UCCCAACACUAACAUCAGCACAAUUGCCAACCUGUCCACCGUGUGUGUCAUGUGCACCAGACCUAGCCGAUCCGUCCACACUGACAUCGAUAACACGAAAAGCGGGUGACUCGACCAAACAAAAUGAAGGGGUAGACCUAAAUGUUGUGUUUCUUGCGAUAAAUUUUACAGUACUUGCUGCAAUUGUAGUGCUUCUUGUGUGGACAUGGAGAAAUCUGCGGAAAGGAACUAUUCCCGACCGAAGCAAUGAGAAUGAAUACAGAAGUGUGCAAUCAGAAGAAACAAGGGAGACCCCUGUUUGAGCAGUGGCAUUAUGGAUCUGAAGAAAAGCUUCAAGAAGUAUCAGCCAUCAUAUUACAUUUAGAUUUAAAGAGAGUUUAAGAAAGGUUUAUGCAAUACACACCUAUAUACAUGUUCUUUUUUUCUUCUCACUUUUUAGGGCUUUUAGUUUUGUGUUUGUUGUCCACACAUUUUAAAACAAAUCACUCGUUAGGCACAAACAGUAAAUAAAACAUUAAUCUAUAAACUUUUUUUCGCUUAAACUGAGGCUGAAUAAUUUCAUCAUUAUGAAACUGUAGCAGGGUUUAAAAAAAUAUGCUAUCAUGCACGAUUGAAAACUGCAAGGGGGAAGAUUAUUUACACUAUGUAUAUGCCUUUUUCAAAGUGCCUUUGGAAAAGUUUCUUGCUCAAAAACACUUCUUUGAUUAUAAGAAAAAACAUGUUUCGGGAAACAUAAUGCCUUCUUUAAGUGUGUGGUUUGGCAUGCACAGAAUCUAAUCACAUAAGUUGCAUUCUGUUCAUUUGUCAAAUGUGUGUUUUUUUACUAUAUUUUAUAUCUUAUUUAUACUAUUGGACUUUCCACUGUUGCAAUUUGUGAAAAACCAGCAGAUAGGCGGUACAAUAGAAACGCACCACAACUAUAAUGACAUGGUGCAUUAAAACAAUUAAUCGUUUUCUUCUCUAUCAGACAAAGCUUGAAUCACAAUGUUAAAGAAUGUAAAGCAAUCAUUAAAUCGUUUCUUUUUCACGUGGA